rnacentral:lncRNA from 1 species
CUCAAAUAAACGGGCGCUGCCGCCUCCAGGGGGAGGACAGCGGGCGGAGAAUACUCACGCUGGGCCCAGCCGCGCGGGGACUUCGCUGGGAACCACGCGCGGGCUCCCGCCGGGGAGCGGAGCCCCAGCCUGCAGUCCUGCGCCCGCCCCAGCACCGCCUCCUCGGAAGGGAGGCCUCUACCGUCCGGCGGCGGACCUGCAGCCGCCGCGGGAGACGCUGCCCCGCCCCCCGGCCCCGCCCUUCGGCCCAUCCCCGCCCCGCUGGCCUCCUUUUCCCCUGCCCCCUCCCUCCGCUCCUCAACGCCCGCCGGGUGCAAUCUGCUCUCUCCGGGAGACGAACGCGAAGCGACGUGGAAACCCUUCCACCAAAAUGAGCUGUGAUAUCCUUUUGAUGGCUAUAAUUUAUUCCAAAUCGUCCCUGGACUGAAACGAUCAAUUAGCAGCCCGAAACGCACUGUGAAGUAAAUUGUCACACUCUCUAUUACAGGAUGGUUAUCAUAUAUUUAUAAGGUGUGUUUUCUGCAAUCAGAACCAACAAGGUGUUGAGCGAUCAGUCAUAAACGCACUUCUUCAAAAAGAGAGGGAGAGAAGCUCAGCAUUGUGUGGCGGGGGAAUAAUCCUCAUGACAGUUCUCUCCCCACCCAGUGAUGUUUUGUCUUGGCACCUGGGAAGUGCAGUGAGGGCUGGAGCUCUGGACGGACUCUCUUCGCCACGCGUGCCCCUGGAAGCAGGGUCCCUGUGAACUACGGAGAGACCCCAGAGGAGAGAUUUCCUUAUUGUGUAAACACAAAUCAGUCAGUUACACCUGCCAUCUAGCAAAACAGACCUCACCCAAGGUCAAUGAUGGCUGCUAACCUUGGGGUUGAUGGGGGAAGGUGGAUGCAGCAGACCCCAGGGAAAACAGAGCACCGUGAGGAGGAGCCAGAGGAGGCCGGAGGCCCUUGUCUCAGACAUCCAGCUCUGAGAGUGAAAUGUUGCUUCCUAAUGGACUUUAAAUUACCAACAUCGCUAAACUCUCUCUUAAUAGACUUGUAAAGAUUUGCUUGCUACCUUUUUCCUCCUUCAUGUAGAAUUUGUAAUCAAGAGCCCAAUUUUGUCAUUUGGAAAUACUAAUUAUCUAAUCACGGCAUGCUGUAUAACGUACUUGUCUGCCCAAUUAGCUAGGACAAUUAUUAAAAUUCAGAGGCCUAAUUAUGUCUCAAUUUAAUGCUGGCAAACUUGCAUACAGAGCAGUAAUUAAAAUCCUCUCUUUCCCUCUGCCUUUAGGGCAGGGGAUGAUUAGGCCCUGUCAGGGGGUGUACUGAACCAAACCAGUGAAGCGUAUUGUGCAACAUGACCCUGCAUUGUUAAGUGUGUCAACAUAUUAACCUGAAUUCCCUUCAGCCCCCACAUAAUCACAUUUGGUGGAAGAAUGAAGGAGCUAAAACAUGAAGCAUUUUUUUAAAAAAACAUAAAUUCAUUUUAAUUAA